AAAGCGUGCGCAGGCGGUUUGCUAAGACCGAUGUGAAAUCCCCGGGCUCAACCUGGGAACUGCAUUGGUGACUGGCAGGCUAGAGUAUGGCAGAGGGGGGUAGAAUUCCACGUGUAGCAGUGAAAUGCGUAGAGAUGUGGAGGAAUACCGAUGGCGAAGGCAGCCCCCUGGGCCAAUACUGACGCUCAUGCACGAAAGCGUGGGGAGCAAACAGGAUUAGAUACCCUGGUAGUCCACGCCCUAAACGAUGUCAACUAGUUGUUGGGGAUUCAUUUCCUUAGUAACGUAGCUAACGCGUGAAGUUGACCGCCUGGGGAGUACGGUCGCAAGAUUAAAACUCAAAGGAAUUGACGGGGACCCGCACAAGCGGUGGAUG
rnacentral:rRNA from 1 species